GGGGAGAGAAGCAAAAAGUGUGUGAGUGGGGGGUAAAUAAUUGGCCGACUCCCUGCCUGGUUGCCAAGUGCUGGGAUCAAAGAGGCCAACCAUGUCUCUUCAAAGGCCAGGGCGGGAUUAAGGGGAGGUGGGUCUUUCAUGUGGCUCUAGGCAGUGAUUUCUGCCUUUUAUCCAGCCCUUCCCCCCUUUCUUGUUCAUUUUAUGCUGGGAUCUGAAUGCUCCUCCCUACCAUUUCCCCUCUCUUUGCCUCAGCUAAAACAAGCCCAUUUCCCAUUCUCUCUAUCUAAUGUCUUGGCUUUUUCUUCUUUGCUUUCUUUCUGCCUGUCUCUCACUCUUAAUUCUACCUCUGGUAUACAGGCAGUACCCAAGUUGCAAACAUCCGAUUUACAAACUGCUCAUAGUUACAAAUGGGGUGAGACAACAAAGUGAGAGAGAUCCAACUCUAGAAAAAGAAAUUCACCCCUGAAAGAGUUAUCACGAGGAAAAGGAAUCUUAAUUGAAGCUUUCUCACCAAUUGCUGUUUCCACAACAAGCCAUGUUGUUCAAAAUCCACUUAUUAUGGGGUUGGAAAGUGAGGCGAAGUCUUCUGAACAGGGGCACAGACUGCAAAACAAACACCACAGGAUGUUAAACCUUCUCUAUGCUAUCCAAAACAUGCAUGCAUAUAUAUAUGGCUGGAGUUACACUUUAAAAAUGUGCCUGUUCCGACUUACAUGCAAAGAAAAAAAAACUACAGAGCCUAACUUGGGGACUGCCUGUAAAAUGGAGAAGCAGUUAGAAAUAGUUGUAAUCUUCAAGAGGUUUUAACUAAACAUUGCUGAGUAGUUUUGACCUCGUCCUCAAAAUGAUGGCAUAAGGGAUUAUUUUAUUUUUAUUUCCUCCUCCUUUUGGCUGGCAUCCUGCAUUGCCAUUAUCGAUUCAAAGCCUAGGGUUAUGGAUUGGCAACUGCAAUGUGUUCAGCUAUGCUACCUAUUCAUAAUCAAGACACAAUUGCUAUGAUCAUAAAUGCCAUUCAAAGCUCACCUUAAACUCCAAAUAACUGCACUGAAUGGCAGAGAUCAUCAGAACACUUUGGGAACAUAUCUCCAUCCUCUUCUUGCCCCAGAGCCGUGCACUCUAUGUAUGUUAUGUUAUGGUAUGUAAGUAUGUCUCUGUGUGUGUGUGUGUGUGUGUGUGUGUGUGUGUGUGUUUCUUCCAGAGUGGAGCCCAAGGUAGCCCACCGAUAAAAUUAGCUAAAAUCUAAUAAUACAACAUUUUAGAAACAAUUUAAAACAUCUACAAAAGUCAAAAACAUAAACAAAGCAUGCUCUCCAAUACAAAAGCUCAUGAGAAUGAUCACAUAUUAAAAGCUGCCUGCCAAAAAAACCCCUAGCUGUUGGAGAAAGGAAAACAAAACAAGGAGAAGGCCAGCCUACCUCCCAUGGAGCCACAAAGAAGGCUCUUUUGUGUCCUUACACACAAAAUUGAUGAAACCAAGAUAAAACCAAGAUCUUAAAGGUUUGGCAGGUCCAUACUGGGAAACCUCCAAAUCUUGGAUCCAAGCUGUAUAAGGAUUUUUAGGUCAUGAGCAGCACUUUAAAUUGUGCCUGGAAACAAUCUGGAAGCUAGUGGAACAGUUUUAACAGGGACGUUCUAUGCUACCUAUAACUGAUCUCAGUCAGCAUUCAGCUUCAAAGUACCGCAGUUUCCAAGCUCUGUAGAAGGCCUCUGCGUAAUUUGGGCAAUUCCCUUUGGCCACGUCCAACAUAGUUCCAAAAUGUAAUCUUACAUUUCCUGCCUUCUUCCCCAACUUGCUGCUUCCACUUGACCACAGUCAAAGGCUAUACUUUCCACCCUCUGCUGUGCACACACCUGCAGCGUACAGUCUAGCUUUCUGAUGACAUAUUCUGUUACAACAGGCAGUAAAUAUGGCAUGGACGGGAGGGGGUUACUUUGCUAUUUGAACUGCUGUGAAAGCAGAAAAAGCCCUCUCCCAACAUCAUUAGAGGGAAACUAAACAGGAGGGGAGGGGCCCUACACACACACACACAAUUGUGGAGUUUGCAAAUGCCUCCAAAUUAAUUGGCCCACAAAUGGGUGGCCUGCCGGUUUUGCUUGCAUCGGAUCCCCCCCCCCCCUGCUGUCGGCCCCUCUCCCUGCCUUGGCAGGCUGCCAGCUGCUCCCUGCCUUUGAUCAUUUCUCUGUUCAUCUGGCCUGCAGUCAGCAGGGCAGUUCCUUUCUGCCUGCUGCCCAAUUACCAAGAAACAUAAAGGGAGGAGCGUAAAACUCCGUUCCCUUGAGUCAUCCUCAACCAUUAGGAGCAGGCAUCGAUUACAUUUCAAAGGUAUUGUUUCCCAGAUCCUAGUUCACGGGUGUUUGUGUGUGUGUGCUUUUUUUAAAAAGGAGACCAACUGCCACCAGAAGGGGAUAUAGAUCAAUGUGACAAAGUAGUCAUCAAUAAAAACACAUUGACAUUGCUGGCUGUGGGCCUAACAAUAUAGCAAACAAUCACUUAGUAAUAGGCAUGUGCUAGCAGAGCAUGUGAUUUAUACUCCUGCAUGUAGUUACUAGUCUGGCUUGACAAGCUGGUAUGUGACCAGAGAAGGAUGACCAAAAAUGCUUACAGGUCUGGAAGCCAGCUUAGGGAACUAGGUGUGUUUAGCCUGGAAAAGAGAAGGUUAAGAAGGGACAUAAUAGCCAUGUUUAAAUAUUUGAGUGUCACACUGAGGAGGGGCAAGCUUUUUUCCCUCCUGCUCUAGAGACUACAGCACGGAGCAAUGAAAUUGAAGGAAAAGAGAUUCCACUGAACUUCCUGAUCAUGAGAGCUGUUUGACAGUGGUGUAUGUUGCCUCACAGGGUGGUAAAAUCUUCUCUUUUGGAGGUUUUCAAACAGAAGCUUACCAAAGAAGUCAGAAUCUUUUUCGCCCCUAGAUUUUAUAUGGGGUUGGAGUUGGGCUGGUUGUUGUUCACCUUUUGCUUGCAGAUACUAAUUACUCUUCUUGUGAAAUACAUCACUAUCUCUCACAUUUAUUCUCAUUGAUCCAUGUUUCCUGGUCCUCGCAUGGCCAAAAAAAGGGGUGGGGUGGGGAGGAGAGUAGGCUCUACCUAUAUUAAUAUCGUUCUAUCUUAACUGCCAUGGUUCAAUGCUAUGGAUUCGUGGGAGUUGUAGUUUUGUAAGAUCUUUUGUUUUCUCUUCCUAAUAGUGCUUCUGCCUCACCAAACUACAAUCCCCAUUAUUCCAUAGCAUUGAGCCAUAGCAGUCAGCGUGGUGCCAAACCACAUUAAUUCUACAGUGUAUUUAUUUAUUUAUCGUGUCAGAAGUGAAUUGAGAAUACAGUUAUAAUGUAUAGAAAAACCACAAACAAAGUUUAAAACUUGCAAUUAUACUAAAUUUUCUUUUAUCAGAAGCUGGCCACUUGGAGUGCCUCUGGUGUUGCUGUAAGAAGGUCCCCCAUUGUGCAUGUGGCAGGGCUCAGACUGCAUUGUAGUAGGUGGUCUGUGGUUUGCUCUUCUCAACACUCACAUACUGUGGACUCCAUCUAACCAUAAUUUUGUCUAGCCCACAUUUGACUAGCUUGUUUACCAGAAGGUCAUGGGGGACCUUGUCAAAGGCCUUACUGAAAUCCAGAUAGGCUACAUCCAUGGCAUUCCCCACAUCUACCCAGCUUGUAACUCUAUCGAAAAAAGAGAUCAGAUUAGUUUGACAUUAUUUGUUUUUGGUAAAUCCGAGUUGACUAUUAGCAAUGACCACAUUUGUUUCUAAGUGUUUGCAUACCACUUCCUUAAUGAUCUUUUCCAGAAUCCUGCCUGGUAUUGACGUGUGGCUAACUGGAUGGUAAUUGUUUGGGUUCCCUUUAUUCCCUUCUUGAAGAUAGGGACCACAUUCAUCCUCCUCCAAUCUGCUGGGACUUCUCCCGUUCUCCAAGAGCUCUCAAAAAUGAUUGCUAGUGGUUCUGAAAUAACUUCUGCUAGUUCCUUCAAUACGCUUGGGUGUAGUUGAUCCGGCCCUGGAGACUUACAUUCAUUUAGAGCGGCCAGGUAUUCCUGGAUUAUUUCUUUCCCUAUUUGGGGUUGGAUUUCCCCCAAUCCUUCAUCCACUCCAUGUUGCUGAGGUUGAGGCUUUCUUUUUGUGAGAAGACUAAGGCAAAGAAUGCAUCAAAUAGUUCUGCCUUUUCCCUAUCCCCUGUCAGAAUUUCCCCUUCUUUUCCUCGCAGAGGCCCUAUCACCUCCUUGUUCUUCCUUUUCCUACCGACAUAAGCAAAGAAGCCCUUUUUAUUGUUUUUAAUGUCCCUGGCAAGCCUGAGCUCGUUUUGCGCUUUGGCCUUGUGAACCUUUUCCCUACAGGAGUUGGCUAUUCAUUUGAAUUCUUCUUUGGCGAUUUCUCCCUUUUCCCACUUCUUGUGCAUGUCUUUUUUGAGUCUUAGACCAAUUAGAAGUUCUUUGGACAUCCAUUCUGGCUUCUUUGCACUUGUCUUGUUUUUAUUCUUUAUUGGCACUGUUUGCAUUUGCGCCUUGAGUAUUUCACUUUUUAAAAACUCCCAUCCAUCCUUAACUUCCUUGUCUUUUUGUAUUGGCGUCCAUGGACUGAUGCUCAGUAUUUCCUUCAUUUUUGGAAGUCAGCUCUCCUGAAGUCCAGAAUGUGGGUUUGACUUGUCUUCGUUUCGGCCUUCCUUUGUAUCGCAAACUGCAGGAGCACAUGGUCACUUGCCCCUAAGAAUCAACUGCAUUGAUCUGGUCCUCUGUGUUUGUUAGAAUGAGAUCAAGAGUAGCCAGUCCCCUUGUUGCCUCUUCUACCUUCUGGACCAUAAAAUUGUCUGCAAGGCAAGCGAGGAAUUUGUUGGACUUUGUACUCUUGGCCGAGUUUGUUUUCCAGCAAAUAUCAGGAUAGUUGAAAUCGCCCAUGAGUACUAUAUCUCUUCUUUGUGCCUGUUUGGUCAGCUGCUGACAGAAGGCUACAUCAAGUUCUUCAUCCUGGUUCAGAGGUCUGUAGUAGACUCCCACGACAAGAUCUUUUUGAAUCCAGUUUCCCUUGAUUUUUAUCCAGAUGCUUUCAAGCUGGUUUUCCGGAUUGCCAUCUUGCAUCUUUUCUGCAACGUAAAUGUUUUUGACAUAUAGGGCUACUCCCCUUCCUCUCCCGUUUAUUCUGUUUCUGUGAAAGAGGUUAUAGCCUUCAAUGGCUACAUUCCAGUGAUGGGAGUCAUCCCACCAGGUUUCAGUGAUUCCUAUGACAUCGUAAGUGUGGCGUUGUGCUAAAGGUUGGCGUUCGUCUUGUUUAUUCCUCAUGCUCUGUGCAUUAGUGUAAAGACAUGUAAGCCCCUGGGACCUUCCCCUGAGCUGUUUCUUUGGGAUUAUUGUGUUCUUGGUAAUUGGUCCUUGUCGUGUUUGUGCAACCCCAUUUAGCCUUAUGGCGAUUCCCUGUGGUCGUGGGUAAAAUACUGUUCGCAAGGCUAUUGUCCCCCUCCCCCGACUGACCUAGUUUAAAGUGCGCCUGAUGAAGUUUGCUAGUCUGUGAGCAAAAAGGUGUUUUCCUACUUGUGUGAGAUGCACCCCAUCCCUUGCCAGUAGGCCUUCCUCGUUGAAAAGCAGGCCAUGGUCUAGGAAGCCAAAGAGUUCCUCCUGACACCAUCUUCUGAGCCAGUUAUUGACCUGUACUAUUUUUCUGGCCCUUGUAGAUGUCCUCUGUCUUGAUCUGACUAACAUUAAUAUCCAUCUAGACCAAAUGCUACUGCCUACACCAAUAUCCAGAUUAACCACUUCUCCUGUCCCCUCUUCUGCUUUCUAACAGCCACAAAAUAUCAAUUGGGAAGGAGCUAUCAAGGUGACUUAGUGUGUCCUGGGUCUGGUGAUGGGAGCCAUAGUGUGGUUUCAUAUAUGGGCCUCUUUUAAUAUAUGAGACCAGGUAGGAUUUCAUUUAAUAAGUGUACAGAAGGAAGGAAAGUGAAUACUUGGGUCUAAUCCAGCCACAUUAACUUGCCCAGAUAGCAAAACUCCUGGGAGGAAAGGUUAUGGCAACUCUUGCUAACAGAUUGGCAAUCAAGAAAAGAAAAGGUCUCUUUGCCUUAAUCCCUUUAUCUCAGAGACACAUUCUCAGAUAGAGUUUUAUUUUUAGUUGAUAGGCAAUUUUAAAGGAGAACCGUUAAAGGCAUACACACAAAAUGCCACACUGUGCAUAGGUUAACACAGUUACAGCCCAUAUUAACUUAUCCCCAUUACACACAUGCUGUAUAUUUUAUAGUAUACAUUCAUUUUAUGGUAUACAUUUUACACUGAACAUAAACAGUAAUGUACUGAACUAUGCAUUAAAGGCAAAAGCUACAAGAAUAAAAUACAACAUAUUUCUACUGUGACUGAGUUAAUGUAGCUGUUGCAUUUGUCAUCUCAGAGCUUGCAGCAUACAAAUGCCACUUGAGAAAGUUCAGUGCUGCAUUAUACUAGGUUUAUUGUUUCAAAUUUCAUUUAGUAACAGCCAAAAUAAGGAGAGAAUUAUCUGAACCUUAUAAAAGGCCCUAUACAGCAGAAUUCCAAAUUAGCUUCACUAACCAGGCUACAGCAAGGUAAAUAUUCACAGACUUGGUGCCAGAUUUGGGUCAAAUUGGUUUAAAAGAGGCCAGUGUUUCUCCUCUGAAGCUCAUAAUAUCAGAUACUACUGCAGACUCAGGGUGCAUCUACACUGUUGAAUUAAUGCAGUUUGACACCACUUUAACUUCCAUGUCUCAAUGCAAUGGAAUCAUGAGAGUUGCAGUUUGGUGAAUCACUGGAAUUAUUUAGCAGAGAAGGCUGAAAGCACCAAGGCAUGGCAGUUAAAGUGGUGUCAAAUUUAAUUUGACAGUGUAGAUGCACCCUUUCUUUUCAGGUUUGGAAGAGUCAUUCAGUGGUUCCCAUUUCCUGCCAUUUCCUCCUCAUGCUGUUGCUGAUGCCCAUUCCCCUGCCACCCUCUUUCAGCCCAAUUCACUUCUUUUCAGGAAGCAAAGCUGGAGAAACCUUAAUCCCUGACAUCCCUCAGCAUUAGCCAGGCUGAUGGGAACUACAAUCCAGAAGCAUCUGGAAAGCCAAAGUUCACCGUCCCAUGUCACUGGGACGUAUCUGGUAGUAUCUGCAUGACAUAGUAACAUUGGUUUCAUGCUACAUAAAUGGCUGUGACGCCAUCCUACAGAAUCCUGGGAUUUGUAGUUUGCUUGAACACUGCAACAGAAGAUUCUAAGCAUUUCACUACACCCAUACACAUUUUUUGAAUGGAGCCUUGGUAGUUAAAGGAAUGUAAAACAGCUAUAAUAGUAUAAUUACAACUAUGAUUAUGCUGUCCAGUACAUUUUGCAAACUGCAAUCCAAAAUGUAACUUCUCAUGUUGGGCACAUCAGGAAGAAUCUGUGGAGGGUCAUUUUUUCUUCAACCCAAUGCAUAUCUCCAUGAUGAUAUAAAGAUAGUCUGGUUGCCUAGCAAUAUUUUUUUGAAAGGAAAUGGGCACACUUGGUUUACAUUAAACAAACAAUGCAUUUACAGCAAACAAGCUGAAUGAGCUCUAUUUCACUGCAGUUGAAGGUCUCCCUAUGUCAAAUUAUUUUAAAACUGUAAUUUUGGCUCCUUGUGGCCUAGAAAACAUGCCGUCAUAUACAUUCUUAUCAUCCUAGUAGAUCUUGCUGAAAUUGUUUAACGUACCUAAACAAAAUACUAUUGGGAAGGCAAUUUGAAUAGAAAUAAAUACCACCAGCUUGGAGAUCAUCUUCAUAACUUUUAUAUAGCACUUUUUGUGCACUAUCUCAGUAAGCCCUGUGAGAAUCUUGUACAAAAUGGUGCAGGAGUGCACAGGUGAGACCAAGAGAAUUAUAGCCACAUACUGGAUCAUUUCUGGAUUCUUUCUCAGAGGGAGGUCCCAUCGAGCUCAACUCCCAAUGUAGUCGCAUUGCAACUUAAGUGACUUAUAGAAUCAUAGAAUCUUAGAAUAGUAGAGUUGGAAGAGACCUCAUGGGCCAUCCAGUCCAACAACCUGCCAAGAAGCAGGAAAUCGCAUUCAAAUCAUUCUCGACAGAUGGCCAUCCAGCCUCUGUUUAAAAGCCUUCAAAGAAGGAGCCUCCACCACAGUCCGGGGCAGAGAGUUCCACUGCCAAACAGCUCUCACAGUCAGGAAGUUCUUCCUGAUGUUCAGGUGGAAUCUCCGUUCCUGUAGUUUGAAGCCAUUGUUCCGCGUCCUAGUCUGCAGGGCAGCAGAAAACAAGCUUGCUCCCUCCUCCCUAUGACUUCCCCUCACAUAUUUGUACAUGGUUAUUAUGUCUCCUCUUAGCCUUCUCUUCUGCAGGCUAAACAUGCCCAGUUCUUUAAGCCUCUCUUCAUAGGGCUUGUUCUCCAGACCUUUGAUCAUUUUAGUUGCCCUCCUCUGGACACUUUCCAGUUUGUCAACAUCUCCCUUCAACUCCGGUGCCCAGAAUUGGACGCAGUAUUCCAGGUGUGGUCUGACCAAGGCAGAAUAGAGGGGUAGCAUGACUUCCCUGGAUCUAGAUGCUAUACCCCUAUUGAUGCAGGCCAAAAUCCCGUUGGGUUUCUUAGCAGCCACAUCACAUUGCUGGCUCAAAUUUAACUUGUUGUCCACAAGGACUCCAAGAUCUUUUUCACAUGUACUGCUGUCUAGCCAGGCGUCCCCCAUUCUGUAUCUUUGCAUUCCAUUUUUUCUGCCAAAGUGAAGUAUUUUGCAUUUGUCCCUGUUGAACUUCCUUUUGUUAGUUUCGGCCCAUCUCUCUAGUCUGUUAAGAUCGUUUUGAAUUCUGCUCCUGUCUUCUGGAGUGUUGGCUAUCCCUCCCAAUUUGGUGUCAUCUGCAAACUUGAUGAUCGUGCCUUCUAACCCUUCAUCUAAGUCGUUAAUAAAGAUGUUGAACAGAACCGGGCCCCGGACGGAACCCUGCGGCACUCCACUCGUGACUUCUUUCCAAGAUGAAGACAACGCAUUGAUAGUACAGAAAUUUGGGGCAGCUCCACAUAGGCGUUAAAGAUAGAGGACCAUCAAGGGAGUGAAGGUACCAUCACCAGGGGCUUUGAGGAAAGAGGCAGCCUUUGUUUUCUUUGCUGCCUCUGCCUCAGCUCCUGGAACUCACUCCUUGCAGAACUGAGGCCCUGGCCCUGUGACUCUGCGAAGCACAGCCCAACAAGAACACCUGCUUGCCUCCAGAGGCCGGGGCAUAAAAGGACCAUGCCUGUGGGGGUCUCAGCCAUACAGGGCUCUGCCAUCUUGCUGCUCUGCUACAUCACCAUCCCUGCUGCUGACGCUGGUUCACUUCUGCCAUCAUUCAGGAAAAAUCCUUCCCUCUUUUAGCAGAAUCCUUAUGAUAGCUGAGAUUUGGUUACAUGUUUUAAUCCGUUUUAAUUGUAAUUUACAUGUUAUUGAGUUUUGUGUUCAUUGUAUAACACUAGCGUUGGAUUUUUGCCAAAACUUCUAAGCUGCUCUGAGUCCCCCAUGUGGUAGAAAUAAAGUAAAUAAAUAAAUUCAUUAAAGUGCAA